rnacentral:rRNA from 1 species
UUGAACGCUGGCGGCAGGCCUAACACAUGCAAGUCGAGCGGUAGCACAGAGAGCUUGCUCUCGGGUGACGAGCGGCGGACGGGUGAGUAAUGUCUGGGAAACUGCCUGAUGGAGGGGGAUAACUACUGGAAACGGUAGCUAAUACCGCAUAAUGUCGCAAGACCAAAGUGGGGGACCUUCGGGCCUCAUGCCAUCAGAUGUGCCCAGAUGGGAUUAGCUAGUAGGUGGGGUAACGGCUCACCUAGGCGACGAUCCCUAGCUGGUCUGAGAGGAUGACCAGCCACACUGGAACUGAGACACGGUCCAGACUCCUACGGGAGGCAGCAGUGGGGAAUAUUGCACAAUGGGCGCAAGCCUGAUGCAGCCAUGCCGCGUGUGUGAAGAAGGCCUUCGGGUUGUAAAGCACUUUCAGCGGGGAGGAAGGCGUUAAGGUUAAUAACCUUGGCGAUUGACGUUACCCGCAGAAGAAGCACCGGCUAACUCCGUGCCAGCAGCCGCGGUAAUACGGAGGGUGCAAGCGUUAAUCGGAAUUACUGGGCGUAAAGCGCACGCAGGCGGUCUGUCAAGUCGGAUGUGAAAUCCCCGGGCUCAACCUGGGAACUGCAUUCGAAACUGGCAGGCUAGAGUCUUGUAGAGGGGGGUAGAAUUCCAGGUGUAGCGGUGAAAUGCGUAGAGAUCUGGAGGAAUACCGGUGGCGAAGGCGGCCCCCUGGACGAAGACUGACGCUCAGGUGCGAAAGCGUGGGGAGCAAACAGGAUUAGAUACCCUGGUAGUCCACGCCGUAAACGAUGUCGACUUGGAGGUUGUGCCCUUGAGGCGUGGCUUCCGGAGCUAACGCGUUAAAUCGACCGCCUGGGGAGUACGGCCGCAAGGUUAAAACUCAAAUGAAUUGACGGGGCCCGCACAAGCGGUGGAGCAUGUGGUUUAAUUCGAUGCAACGCGAAGAACCUUACCUGGUCUUGACAUCCACAGAACUUUCCAGAGAUGGAUUGGUGCCUUCGGGAACUGUGAGACAGGUGCUGCAUGGCUGUCGUCAGCUCGUGUUGUGAAAUGUUGGGUUAAGUCCCGCAACGAGCGCAACCCUUAUCCUUUGUUGCCAGCGGUUAGGCCGGGAACUCAAAGGAGACUGCCAGUGAUAAACUGGAGGAAGGUGGGGAUGACGUCAAGUCAUCAUGGCCCUUACGACCAGGGCUACACACGUGCUACAAUGGCAUAUACAAAGAGAAGCGACCUCGCGAGAGCAAGCGGACCUCAUAAAGUAUGUCGUAGUCCGGAUUGGAGUCUGCAACUCGACUCCAUGAAGUCGGAAUCGCUAGUAAUCGUAGAUCAGAAUGCUACGGUGAAUACGUUCCCGGGCCUUGUACACACCGCCCGUCACACCAUGGGAGUGGGUUGCAAAAGAAGUAGGUAGCUUAACCUUCGGGAGGGCGCUUACCACUUUGUGAUUCAUGACUGGGGUG